GACGAACGCUGGCGGCGUGCCUAAUACAUGCAAGUAGAACGCUGAAGGAGGAGCUUGCUUCUCUGGAUGAGUUGCGAACGGGUGAGUAACGCGUAGGUAACCUGCCUGGUAGCGGGGGAUAACUAUUGGAAACGAUAGCUAAUACCGCAUAAUAGCAGUUAUUGCAUGAUAACUGUUUGAAAGGUGCAAUUGCACCACUACCAGAUGGACCUGCGUUGUAUUAGCUAGUUGGUGAGGUAACGGCUCACCAAGGCGACGAUACAUAGCCGACCUGAGAGGGUGAUCGGCCACACUGGGACUGAGACACGGCCCAGACUCCUACGGGAGGCAGCAGUAGGGAAUCUUCGGCAAUGGACGGAAGUCUGACCGAGCAACGCCGCGUGAGUGAAGAAGGUUUUCGGAUCGUAAAGCUCUGUUGUAAGAGAAGAACGAGUGUGAGAGUGGAAAGUUCA
rnacentral:rRNA from 1 species